CGGCCAUGUUGGUGCGAGAGCUUUCUUCUUGGGUUUGAUGGUCUAGGGUUCCACGUGGUUGAUGAGGAUGAGAACUUCUCUAGAAGAGCCGGACUAAAUCGAGUAUGAAGUUUACCCUGUAUCAAACUGGACCUGGCUCAAGAUCUUGGAUCUCUGGAAGAUGCCCAUUUGUGGUUGGGUAACCUAAUGUAAAAUGUUUUGUUAAAUUGACCGUAACUUAAUUGAAUGGUGAUUUGCAUUGUUUCGGAGACACUCAUCCAGAGUUAUUUGCAUACCUAUUGUAUUUGCAUAUGACAAAUAAAACAUUCAGCUUGA